GCUUGUUAGUCUUGGUGACUCUGAAUAACUUACCGCAGAUCGCAUGAUCUUGUACCGACGACGCAUAUUUCAAAUGUCUGACAUAUCACACUUUCGAUGGUAGGCUCUGCGCCUACUAUGGUUAUAACGGGUAACGGGGAAUCAGGGUUCGAUUCCGGAGAGGGAGCCUGAGAAACGGCUACCACAUCCAAGUAAGGCAGCAGGCGCGCAAAUUACCCACUCCCAGAACGGGGAGGUAGUGACGAAAAAUAACGAUGCAGAACUCAAUCCGAGGCUCUGCAAUCGGAAUGAG
rnacentral:rRNA from 1 species